rnacentral:rRNA from 1 species
UAGGGAAUAUUAGAAAUGGACGAAAGUCUGAUCUAGCAACACCGCGUGUGCGAAGAAGGCCUUCGGGUCGUAAAGCACUUUUUGGAAGGAAUAGGAAGGAAUGUACUUCCAGAAUAAGUCUCGGCUACCUACGUGCCAGCAGCCGCGGUAACACGUAGGAGGCAAACGUUAUCCGGCUUUACUGGGCGUAAAGCGCGUGUAGGUGGUACUGUAAGUAGGGCGUGAAAGCUCCUGGCUCAACUGGGAGAGGCCGUUCUAAACUACAGAACUAGAGGAUGGUAGAGGGAGGUGGAAUUCCAGGUGUAGCGGUGGAAUGCGCAGAUAUCUGGAGGAACACCGGUGGCGAAGGCGGCCUCCUGGACCAUUCCUGACACUCAGACGCGAAAGCUAGGGUAGCAAACG